rnacentral:pre_miRNA from 1 species
AGUAGAAUUAUUGGGUCAUAUGGUAACUCCGUCUUUAACUUUGUGAAGAAUUGCCAAACUGUUUUUCAGAGUGGCUGCACCAUUUUACGUUCCUACCAGCAAU